rnacentral:rRNA from 1 species
CCUACGGGAGGCAGCAGUGAGGAAUAUUGGUCAAUGGACGAGAGUCUGAACCAGCCAAGUAGCGUGAAGGAUGACUGCCCUAUGGGUUGUAAACUUCUUUUAUAUGGGAAUAAAACGUUCCACGUGUGGGAUUUUGUAUGUACCAUAUGAAUAAGGAUCGGCUAACUCCGUGCCAGCAGCCGCGGUAAUACGGAGGAUCCGAGCGUUAUCCGGAUUUAUUGGGUUUAAAGGGAGCGUAGGUGGAUUGUUAAGUCAGUUGUGAAAGUUUGCGGCUCAACCGUAAAAUUGCAGUUGAAACUGGCAGUCUUGUGUACAGUAGAGGUGGGCGGAAUUCGUGGUGUAGCGGUGAAAUGCUUAGAUAUCACGAAGAACUCCGAUUGCGAAGGCAGUUCACUGGACUGCAACUGACACUGAGGCUCGAAAGUGUGGGUAUCAAACAGGAUUAGAUACCCCGGUAGUC